rnacentral:rRNA from 1 species
CCUACGGGGCGCAGCAGUGGGGAAUAUUGCACAAUGGGGGAAACCCUGAUGCAGCGACGCCGCGUGAGUGAAGAAGUAUCUCGGUACGUAAAGCUCUAUCAGCAGGGAAGACAAUGACGGUACCUGACUAAUAAGCCACGGCUAACUACGUGCCAGCAGCCGCGGUCAUACGUAGGGGGCAAGCGUUAUCCGGAUUUACUGGUUGUAAAGGGAGCGUAGACGGCAGCACAAGUCUGGAGUGAAAUCCCGGGGCUUAACCCCGGAACUGCUUUGGAAACUGUGCGGCGGGAGUGCAGGAGGGGUAAGCAGAAUUCCGGGUGUAGCGGUGAAAUGCGUAGAUAUUAGGAGGAACACCGGUGGCGAAGGCGGCUUACUGGACUGUAACUGACGUUGAGGCGCGAAAGCGUGGGGAGCAAACAGGAUUAGAUACCCGGGUAGUC